AUUGAACGCUGGCGGCAGGCUUAACACAUGCAAGUCGAGCGGGGGAGGUUGCUUCGGUAACUGACCUAGCGGCGGACGGGUGAGUAAUGCUUAGGAAUCUGCCUAUUAGUGGGGGGCAACAUUCCGAAAGGGAUGCUAAUACCGCAUACGCCCUACGGGGGAAAGCAGGGGAUCUUCGGACCUUGCGCUAAUAGAUGAGCCUAAGUCGGAUUAGCUAGUUGGUGGGGUAAAGGCCUACCAAGGCGACGAUCUGUAGCGGGUCUGAGAGGAUGAUCCGCCACACUGGGACUGAGACACGGCCCAGACUCCUACGGGAGGCAGCAGUGGGGAAUAUUGGACAAUGGGCGCAAGCCUGAUCCAGCCAUGCCGCGUGUGUGAAGAAGGCCUUCGGGUUGUAAAGCACUUUCAGUAGGGAGGAAGCGUUGUGUGUUAAUAGUACACAGCGUUGACGUUACCUACAGAAGAAGCACCGGCUAACUCUGUGCCAGCCGCCGCCGUAACAC
rnacentral:rRNA from 1 species